AAGAGCUGAGGGUGGCUGAGACUCGGGGUUGUUCAGGGCGGGGUGGGCUCUGGACCCAGGAGGCCUGGCACCCAGAGGAGCUCUACGGUGACUUUGAAGACUUGGAAACAGGGGACAUGCACAAGGGAAAAUCGGGCCCCGACACUCAGAAUGAAGAUAUAGAGAAACAAGGAAGAAAUUGACCCCGACGAAGAAGAAAGUGCCAAGAAAAAGCAUUUGGAUAAGAAGAGAAAAUUGAAGGAGAUGUUUGAUGCGGAAUAUGAUGAAGGAGAAAGCACAUAUUUUGAUGAUCUUAAAGGAGAAAUGCAGAAAGAAGCACAGGAGAAUGGGAGCAGAGGAACUGGAGGCUGCAACUGUGGAAAACUUUUGUGGGGUUUUGCUGCAGAGAGAAGCAGAGAAAUGAAGCAGUUUUUGGUGGAAGAAGUGGAAUCAAAAGGUUUUGAGCUGAAUCACGUAGAAUUUGAAGAUCAAGAUGAUGAAGCCAGAGUUCAGUAUGAUGGUUUUCGACCUGGGAUGUACGUCCGCGUUGAGAUUGAAAAUGUUCCCUGUGAAUUUGUGCAGAACUUUGACCCCCAUUACCCCAUUAUCCUGGGUGGCUUGGGCAACAGCGAGGGAAAUGUUGGACACGUGCAGAUGCGUCUGAAGAAACAUCGCUGGUAUAAGAAAAUCCUCAAGUCCCAAGAUCCAAUCAUAUUUUCUGUAGGGUGGAGGAGGUUUCAGACCAUCCUGCUCUAUUAUAUUGAAGACCACAAUGGAAGACAAAGGCUUCUAAAGUAUACCCCACAGCACAUGCAUUGUGGAGCAGCCUUUUGGGGUAAAAUAUGAUUACAAUAACUUGCCUAUUGCCGAGAUUAAACUUUACAGGCUGCGUUAUUUUA
rnacentral:lncRNA from 1 species